AUGCCAGAUGGUGUUAAUGACACGACGAUUGUGUUAAUUCGAAAAGUGCCCCACCCUAAGGAACUAAAAGAUUUCCGCCCCAUUAGUCUGUGUAAUGUGGUGUAUAAGAUCGUGUCUAAAUGCAUGGUGAACAGGCUACGCCCGCUCCUGUCUGAGCUUAUCUCUGAAAAUCAGAGUGCAUUCAUUUCAGGGAGGUUGAUAUCAGACAAUUCCAUUAUUGCCUUCGAGUGCAUUCAUCAUAUUCAGCCAGUAAAGGAGAAUUCACCAGCUUUAUGUGCUUACAAACUUGAUCUGUCGAAGGCGUAUGACCGCGUCGAUUGGUUCUUCUCGGAAAGGGUGCUCUCUAAAUGGGACUUCUCUGAUGAGUGGAUCUCUCGCGUUAUGGCAUGUGUCUCAUCAGUGAAGUAUUCUGUUAAAUUUAAUGGCAAACUAUUGGAGUCCUUCUCUCCCUCGAGAGGUCUACGCCAAGGUGAUCCAUUAUCCCCCUUCCUUUUCCUCUUUGUGGCUGACGCUCUGUCUAUCCUUCUGAACAAGUCGAUGAGCGAGGAAGGUCUACAAGGGGUCACGAUCUGUAGAGGGCCCCCGGUCAUCUCACAUCUCUUAUUUGAGGCUGAUUCCCUCCUGUUUUUCCAUGCCCCCGAGCAGCAGGCUCUCUUGGUUAAAGGUGUGUUGAACACGUAUUCGGCGGCGACUAGACAAUUGAUCAACCCGUUGAAGUGUUCCAUCCUUUUCUCAGAUAACUGUCUGCAGAGUGUGUUCCACGAUCUUUCAACUGUGUUGGAGAUUACUCAAGAGGUGUUUGAGCCCAAGUACUUGGGUCUUCCUGUCCCGGAAGGAAGAAUUCACAAAGGUAACUUUGAAACAAUCCAAGAGCGCCUACGGAAGAAACUUAUAGAUUGGAGUGAGCAAUAUACGUCCGCUGGUAAUAAGGAGAUUCUUAUUAAAGUUGUGGCCCAGGCCCUUCCUGCUUAUGUAAUGAGUGUCUUCAAGCUUCCUGCAUCGGUCUGUGACGAACUAACUCGCAUGAUACGUCAACUGGUGGGGAGUGGAGAACGGCAAGAAGAAGAUGGCUUGGAUGAGCUGGGACAAACUGAGGCUGGCAAAGUCCAUGGGUGGCAUGGGGUUUCGUGA
rnacentral:rRNA from 1 species